rnacentral:rRNA from 1 species
CAUGACGGUACCUGAAGAAUAAGCACCGGCUAACUACGUGCCAGCAGCCGCGGUAAUACGUAGGGUGCAAGCGUUAAUCGGAAUUACUGGGCGUAAAGCGUGCGCAGGCGGUUUUGUAAGUCUGUCGUGAAAUCCCCGGGCUCAACCUGGGAAUUGCGAUGGAGACUGCAAGGCUAGAAUCUGGCAGAGGGGGGUAGAAUUCCACGUGUAGCAGUGAAAUGCGUAGAGAUGUGGAGGAACACCGAUGGCGAAGGCAGCCCCCUGG